AGUUUUUCGCGUGGCGAUUUGGGCCGGCCGGCUUGCGACCACGCUAUUGACUGCUCGCUAAAAGGCCGGGAUGCGCGAUAA
rnacentral:ncRNA from 2 species